rnacentral:rRNA from 1 species
AACGAACGCUGGCGGCAUGCCUAACACAUGCAAGUCGAACGAGACCUUCGGGUCUAGUGGCGCACGGGUGCGUAACGCGUGGGAACCUGCCCUUAGGUUCGGAAUAACUCCCCGAAAGGGGUGCUAAUACCGGAUAAUGUCUUCGGACCAAAGAUUUAUCGCCUUUGGAUGGGCCCGCGUUGGAUUAGCUAGUUGGUAGGGUAAAAGCCUACCAAGGCGACGAUCCAUAGCUGGUCUGAGAGGAUGAUCAGCCACACUGGGACUGAGACACGGCCCAGACUCCUACGGGAGGCAGCAGUGGGGAAUAUUAGACAAUGGGCGAAAGCCUGAUCCAGCAAUGCCGCGUGAGUGAUGAAGGCCUUAGGGUUGUAAAGCUCUUUUACCCGGGAUGAGAAUGACAGUACCGGGAGAAUAAGCUCCGGCUAACUCCGUG